UACGGGGGGAGCAAGCGUUGUUCGGAUUUACUGGGCGUAAAGGGCGCGUAGGCGGUCAGCACAAGUCAGUUGUGAAAUCUCCGGGCUUAACUCGGAAAGGUCAACUGAUACUGUGCGACUAGAGUGCAGAAGGGGCAACUGGAAUUCUCGGUGUAGCGGUGAAAUGCGUAGAUAUCGAGAGGAACACCUGCGGCGAAGGCGGGUUGCUGGGCUGACACUGACGCUGCUGCGCGAAAGCCAGGGGAGCGAACGGG
rnacentral:rRNA from 1 species